UGGGGAAUUUUGGACAAUGGGCGAAAGCCUGAUCCAGCAAUGCCGCGUGUGUGAAGAAGGCCUUCGGGUUGUAAAGCACUUUUGUCCGGAAAGAAAUGGCUCUGGUUAAUACCUGGGGUCGAUGACGGUACCGGAAGAAUAAGGACCGGCUAACUACGUGCCAGCAGCCGCGGUAAUACGUAGGGUCCAAGCGUUAAUCGGAAUUACUGGGCGUAAAGCGUGCGCAGGCGGUUGUGCAAGACCGAUGUGAAAUCCCCGAGCUUAACUUGGGAAUUGGAUGGGUGACUGAACGGUUAGUGUGUGUCAGAGGGGGGUAGAAUUCCAAGUGCAGCAGUGAAAUGCGUAGAGAUGUGGAGGAAUACCGAUGGCGAAGGCAGCCCCCUGGGAUAACACUGACGCUCAUGCACGAAAGCGUGGGGAGCAAACAGG
rnacentral:rRNA from 1 species